rnacentral:misc_RNA from 1 species
GAUGAAGAACGCAGUGAAAUGCGAUACUUGGUGUGAAUUGCAGAAUCCCGUGAACCAUCGAGUCUUUGAACGCAAGUUGCGCCCGAAGCCAUCAGGUUGAGGGCACGUCUGCCUGGGCGUCACAUAUCGUUGCCCAAUGCCUAUUGCAGUGCAAUAGGAAUUUCUAGGGCGAAUGAUGGCUUCCCGUGAGCGUUGUUGCCUCGCGGUUGGUUGAAAAUCGAGUCCUUGGUAGGGUGUGCCAUGGUAGAUGGUGGUCGAGUUAGAACGAUACCGAUCAUGUGCAUGCUCCCCAAAAUAUGGCCUCUAUGACCCACACGCGUCUUUUGACGAUCAUGACGAGACCUCAGGUCAGGCGGGGCUACCCGCUGAAUUUAAGCAUAUCAAUAAGCGGAGGA